AGUGAGCGCUGGCGGUAGGCCUAACACAUGCAAGUCGAACGGCAGCACAGUAAGAGCUUGCUCUUACGGGUGGCGAGUGGCGGACGGGUGAGGAAUACAUCGGAAUCUACUUUUUCGUGGGGGAUAACGUAGGGAAACUUACGCUAAUACCGCAUACGACCUACGGGUGAAAGCAGGGGAUCUUCGGACCUUGCGCGAUUGAAUGAGCCGAUGUCGGAUUAGCUAGUUGGCGGGGUAAAGGCCCACCAAGGCGACGAUCCGUAGCUGGUCUGAGAGGAUGAUAAGCCACACUGGAACUGAGACACGGUCCAGACUCCUACGGGAGGCAGCAGUGGGGAAUAUUGGACAAUGGGCGCAAGCCUGAUCCAGCCAUACCGCGUGGGUGAAGAAGGCCUUCGGGUUGUAAAGCCCUUUUGUUGGGAAAGAAAAGCAGCAGGUUAAUACCCCGCUGUUCUGACGGUACCCAAAGAAUAAGCACCGGCUAACUUCGUG
rnacentral:rRNA from 1 species